GCUAUUGGGGUCUGAUUAAGACAUGCAUGUCUUCCUUUCUGACAAGUUGGGAGGCAAACAGCUCAGUAACACGUGGACAAUCUGCCUUUAAGAGGAGCAUAACCUCGGGAAACUGAGGACAAUACUCCAUAGGUGACAGAUCCUGGAACGGCUGUCACUCAAAGGUGUUGGUCUUAUGUCGAUUAACGUCGCUUAAAGACGAGUCUGCGGUGGAUUAGAUUGAUGGUGAGGUAAUGGCUCACCAUGUCUACGAUCCGUAUCGGCUAUGAGAGUAGUGAGCCGGGAGAUGGAUACUGAGACAAAGAUCCAGGCUCUACGGAGCGCAGCAGUCGCGAAAACUUCGCAAUGCGCGAGAGCGUGACAAGGGGACCCCAAGUGUUCCGUCACAAACGGAACUUUUGUUUAGUGUAAAAAGCUAAACGAAUAAGGGCUGGGUAAGACUGGUGCCAGCCUCCGCGGUAACACCAGCAGCUCAAGUGGUGGCCACGUUUAUUGGGCUUAAAGCGUCCGUAGUCGGUUGCGUAAGUCCUCUGUGAAAUCCUUCAGCUUAACUGGGGGGCUUGCAGAGAAUACUACGCGGCUUGAGGCCGGGAGAGGUUAGGGGUAUUCUCAGGGUACCGGUGAAAUGGUAUAAUCCUGGGAGGACCACCAGUAGCGAAGGCGCCUAACUGGAACGGGCCUGACGAUGAGGGACGAAAGCUAGGGGAGCGAACGGGAUUAGAUACCCCGGUAGUCCUAGCCGUAAACGAUGCAGACUGAGUGUUGCCUGAACUUAGUGUUCCGGCAGUGCUGAAGGGAAACCGUUAAGUCUGCCGCCUGGGGAGUACGGUCGCAAGGCUGAAACUUAAAGGAAUUGGCGGGGGAGCACCACAAGGGGUGGAUGCUGCGGUUUAAUUGGAUAAAACGCCGGGCAACUCACCAGGGGCGACGGCAGUAUGAAAGCCAGGCUGAAGGUCUUGCUGGACAAGCCGAGAGGUAGUGCAUGGCCGUCGUCAGCUCGUACUGUGAAGCGUACGGUUAAGUCCGUUAACGAGCGAGACCCGUGCCCUUAUUUGCCAACCUCGAGGAGACUUGAGGAGCACUAUAGGGGGACCGCCUCUGAUGAAGAGGAGGAAGGUGCGGGCGACGGUAGGUCAGUAUGCUCCGAAUCUCCUGGGCUACACGCGGCAUACAAUGACGAGGACAACGGGUUGCGACACCGUAAGGUGGAGCCAAUCUCUUAAACCACGCCUUAGUUCGGAUCGAGGGUUGCAACUCACCCUCGUGAAGCUGAAAUCCCUAGUAAGCGCUGGUAACCAUCUAGCGCUGAAUAUGUCCCUGCUCCUUGCACACACCGCCCGUCACGUCAACCGAGUAGGCUUAGGAAGAGGCUUUUUCUUAUGGGAGAGUCGAAUUCUAGGUUUGCAAGGGGGAUGAAGUCGUAACAAGGUA
rnacentral:rRNA from 1 species